rnacentral:rRNA from 1 species
AGUGAACGCUGGCGGCAUGCCUAACACAUGCAAGUCGAACGCUCUUUGGCAGUUUAUCGUCAGAGGGAGUGGCAAACGGGUGAGUAAUACGUGGACAAUCUUCCCUCGAGCGGGGGAUAACUCCGGGAAACCGGAGCUAAUACCGCGUGAGACCACGUCCUGGCAUCAGGAUGAGGUUAAAGCUCCGCAAGGGGCGCUUGAGGAGGGGUUCACGGCCUAUCAGCUAGUUGGCGGGGUUAAAGCCCACCAAGGCGACGACGGGUAACCGGUCUGAAAGGACGACCGGUCACAAUGGCACUGAGACACGGGCCAUACUCCUACGGGAGGCAGCAGUGGGGAAUUUUGCGCAAUGGGGGAAACCCUGACGCAGCGAUGCCGCGUGGAGGACGAAGGUCUUCGGAUUGUAAACUCCCUUUGUCGGUGAAAAAUAUUUGCGUGAAAAACGCAAACUGAUUGUAUCCGGCGAAUAAGCCACGGCUAACUUCGUGCCAGCAGCCGCGGUAAAGUAGUCGUG